GGAAACCCGGGGGUUGCAAGCUACACCGGUCCGCAGUGGUUCCGCGGACAGCGAUAACGCCGCUACGUACCUCGCGGGCUCCCGUGGCCAUUUUUUCCGCUUGCAAAACUGUACGCGAACCGGAAGCUGUUUCCGCGCCGGAUGUCACCGGCCGUUGUCGCGCUCCGCGCCAAUUCCGGUUUCGACGUACCGAGAUUAGCGAGUCGCGAUAAAACACGCCGUGCGUCCGUGUACGUGUAUAUGCGCGCGCGCGUACGUGCGCAUAAACAAAGUCUGAUUAAAGAUUCUCAUUAGAUUCUGAUUAAACGGAAGCAAAUUGCGGCGACGAAGAAUAAGGGGAUCAACGUUGACGAGCGACAGGUGCAGUGAGGUCGUUUGCUAAUUAAGUAUGUUACGCGAGUCUGAGGCACACGCGUUAGAUUCGACGAAGAGGAAGCGACUGCGCUGGACGAGGACUGUUUGCGACGGUUUUAAUAAAUGGAAGAUGGAUUCCAGCGCGAUGGACGGAUUUAAUAAUGAAUUGACACAUGGAUUGGCGUCGAAAAGUAUCAUUCGCUACGUCCUUCUUGAAGAUAUUGUGUGAUCACACGAAGAGAGUUGCAUACUUGACGAUAACUAGUUACGAUGAACGUUUACAACGUAAUCGCACUGCGACCAUACAUAAAUAAUUUGCCAAGUCAGACUUUAAAAAAAGAAAAAAUGUUCAGCUUGUAUUUAAAUUUGUUUAAGCUUGUAAUUAAGUUCGAACUUUUGAUAAUUGACCUUGAAAUUCACUGAUUAUAUUAUAUAAAUAUAUAUAGUUGCAUUUUGAUUGUAAGUGCUUGGACAGUCUUUGUAAUUUUUUGCCGCAUUUUAUUCACAAGUUUUAUCCUUUUCCUUUUUUUAAGAGAUUAAUUCAUCAGCCCGUUAAUUUUGAAAAUUUAAUUUUGAAAACCAGUAUGAAAUAUAAAAAAAGAAAGGAGAUGAAUCUCAAAGUAAAAAGAAAAAUAGAAACUAUCAAGGAGAGAGGUCUCACACUAUCGCGAAUUGUUGUUACAUAACUAAAGUGUGCUUUCAAUGUUAGCAACGUUGUCAUCAAUUACUAACUUCAUCUACUUGAAUCAUUAAAACGAUUUAAUUAUGACUAGCUUAAUCUGGCCUGUUCGUGCGGCAAUUUUUUGAGGAUUCAACAAAGCGGUAAUAAUUAAUAAAGCGGGACAGUUGCGUGUGUAAAAUGACCAACAAGCGUAAGCCAUUUUCUCAUUACUCUCACGUGAAGCGUGUUAAAUGUGGACGGAAUAUUCAUUCAGUACGCAUUGAAUCGCUCGUUUGAUAUUCCUCGGGGAACAGAACGAAGCGAUACGAAUGAUAAUCAUCUGGUGCAUUAAUUGCUGCUGCUGAUGAUUGACGAAUGAAGCGAACGGCCGCAACAACCGCAAGAAAUACAAACAUCAUUCACGUUAAUACGCGGCACAAGUCGAGGGCAAAUCCGAAUCAAGAGAUGAUAGGGGAAAACAAAUGUUCGCUUGACGCUAUUCUCACGAGUCUGGUGUUUGAUUAAGGUGUGUGAGGAGAAGCUUAAUCAACGAGAUGCAUCGUUUGCAACACACCGUGGCUCAUCCCGAGCGAGCACCUUUUUUCCCUGGAGGUAAAAUCGAUCGAAUAAAAGAGGAGGUUUUUACAGUCAAUUUGGCGGCGGUCACCGGGCGCUUCAAAUUACACGACGACGCGAAACAUCGCUGUCGAAAUUCGCAUAUGACAUUCUCUGCUUUAAAAAGCAGAGCACUGCCGUGCGCAUGCCGAGGUAGCGCGAUCGCGCGAAUAAUACAAUUCGCCGCUGCAUUAGACGACGGCAAGGUGCAAUGUCAACGCGUCUCCUUUGAUUAAAGGAGCGCACUCUUUAUACCCGAGGAAGGGUGCGCAAGCCCUUUUGCUUGUUAACAUAAAAUAUGUAUAGUCGAUCUCGCUGCAUUAAUCACAUUCUCAACGUUAUUAUACAGUAAUAGGGCUGAAAAGGAUGUUACGUGAUUAAUUACAGUAGCGUAAGGAUUUACGAUAUGUACAUGUAUAAAUUAUUUAAUGUUGAUCGAGUAAAAAUUUAGACUCGUCGAAAUAUUUCUGUAUGUUUUCGAUUUUUAUUGUUCUGGAUUUUAUUAUGAUAUAGGAAUGCCUAAACGUGUACAAUCCAA
rnacentral:misc_RNA from 1 species